UUGCGUUGACAUAUUUUACUCAAUAUUUAUGGGGGCACCAGUCAAAAAUAGCCAUUGCCCAGAUACGAAUUGCAAAUUAUGAAUUUCCCCUGUUUGGGAACGACAUUGUAUUAAUACGAAUAUAAUAACUUUUACCUUGAGACACAUUGGCACAUUCAUUGGCUCGGUGGAAUGAUUCUAUACAAAUCGCCGGUGUGUCUUUGGGCUUCUUAUCACGUGUCUAGAUCGCGUUUAAAAAUCGCUGCCCGAUUGUCUUUAAUUUUGAUUGAUGUGGCUUUAAUUGCGUCGUAGGACAAGAAGGAGAAGAGCCGCGUGGCGUGCGAGUGAAAGCCAGCGAAAAAGGACACAACUCGGGGCUGUUUGACUGACUGGCGGCCAAAGCGAGAUAGAUAGACUCUCUGCAAGCCAAAGUGCAACAUAUGCUACUAUGUUCUCCUGCUGCUGCUGCUGCUGCUGCUGCUGUUGCUCCUGGUAUCCGCUCUGGCUGAGACUAAGACUCAGAACAAACGUGCGGCGCACGCCGUCAUCUGGUGCCACUUUUGACUUCGAAAAUUGGAUUGCCUACGCUCGCUCGCUUGGGUCCGCUCCUCCGCUUCCUACUCCUUCCUCUUGCUCUUCCUCCUUCAGGUUGUACAUACAUACAUAUGUCCAUGCCCGCUGCUGCAGUGUUACUGUUUGACUUCCGAUAAGCACGAGUGCAGGAGCGAAAGAGCAGACACCAGAAACGGCAACAGCAGGAUAAACCGCUUAAAGGACAUGGCCAUAAGCACAGCCAGUCGGAGCCCCCAAAAACGAUCGCUGCCAAAGGGUUGUGGCUGCCUGCCGCAACCUGGGGAAGUGAGGUGUGAGGCCGACAAGGAUACACAGACGGAGCUCGGCUUACAAAUCCCAAUUGAGCCCCGAAAUCGCGCGCAUGCCUGCCAAAUGAACACGUGUGCCAGCCACCAGUACCAGCACCAGCACCAGCACCAGGACCAGAACCCGAACAGAUCGGUGCGUCAGCUGGCCAGCCCCGAAUAUCCCCAGACAUAAUAAUUGGUUUGCCUAUGAAACUGCUAGAAGAAUCCUCUGAUACACAAAUGGCUGUCUAAGGGUUGAGAUGAAAUUUUAAGCAAUGGAUACAGGAAAACAUUAAACAUUAAAUAUUUUAUGUAUGAAAAGUACGAUAGAUUUUGGGCUAAUAACACUAACAAAUUGCAACAAAAUGAAUCUAAUGGAAUACUUAGCACAGAACGAUAAUUAAGUUGUAGGUCUAGUU